UGGGGAAUAUUGGACAAUGAGGGAAACCCUGAUCCAGCAAUGCCGCGUGAGUGGAGAAGGCCUUAGGGUUGUAAAGCUCUUUCGCCCGCGAAGAUAAUGACGGUAGCGGGAGAAGAAGCACCGGCUAACUACGUGCCAGCAGCCGCGGUAAUACGUAGGGUGCGAGCGUUAAUCGGAAUUACUGGGCGUAAAGCGUGCGCAGGCGGUUUUGUAAGACAGAUGUGAAAUCCCCGGGCUUAACCUGGGAACUGCGUUUGUGACUGCAAGGCUGGAGUACGGCAGAGGUGGGUGGAAUUCCACGUGUAGCAGUGAAAUGCGUAGAGAUGUGGAGGAACACCGAUGGCGAAGGCAGCCCCCUGGGCCUGUACUGACGCUCAUGCACGAAAGCGUGGGGAGCAAACA
rnacentral:rRNA from 1 species